rnacentral:rRNA from 1 species
UACGUAGGGGGCGAGCGUUGUCCGAAGUUACUGGGCGUAAAGCGCACGUAGGCGGCUUUGUAAGUUAGAGGUGAAAGCCCGGGGCUCAACUCCGGAAUUGCCUUUAAGACUGCAUCGCUCGAAUUGUGGAGAGGUAAGUGGAAUUCCGAGUGUAGAGGUGAAAUUCGUAGAUAUUAGGAAGAACACCAGUGGCGAAGGCGGCUCACUGGUCCGGUACUGACGCUGAGGUGCGAAAGCGUGGGGAGCAAACAGG